rnacentral:tRNA from 1 species
GCACCCAUAGCUCAGCUGGAUAGAGCGUCUGCUUGCGGAGCAGAAGGUCAUGCGUUCGAAUCGCAUUGGGUGCA